UUGCCUUGCCAUUGAAAUCCUACCCUUCUUUCAAAGCAUGGUUCGAAAGUCACCUGCUCCAGGAAGCCCUCUUCAGUCCUUGCAGACCAAUAGACCUUGACUCAGUGAAACUAACUCUCCUUCCACACUCACCCUUCUGGAGUGAUAGUCAAAGUAUGCAACCACUUGCCAGGCUGGAGUCCACCUUAACCCUUUGUUUGCUGGGGAGGUCUGCAAACCAUCGCUGGAGGGUCUUGUGGAGGCUCCUGACCCUUAGGUGUAAGAAGAUCUCGGUAGCUCAAAGAGUGGUCCAACUGCACUGCCUUGUCACUACCAGGGUCUUCCUGUUGCCUCAGAUUCAUCAAAGAAACGUUUUGUGGGCAGGAGAUUUUCCCCAGACCCUGUGCCGGGAGCCAGAGCAGAGAGACGUGUCAGGAGGCCCUC